AUGCUGACAGUGUCACCUGACUCCAACUUUCCCCUCAUCGUCUUGAUGACUUGUGUUGAGCUUUUCGCCUUCAUCACAGCCCGUCCUGCUAAUAUUCCACCAGGAAAAAGGAAUCUGCAGACGCUGUAUCAAGACAUGCGUAUGCUGCUGAAAAUAGUAUCUCAAGAAAGGCAUGGGAAUGAGAUGAAAGAAUUUGAUCAGUCACUCACAUCCCUGCCCUUGAUGAACUACAAAACGGCAGACCUGAAAACAGUCGAGGUGAGCAGUACAUUAGGACAGCUGUACUCUGGUCUUAAAUCCUUCAAGUUCCAUCUUGACUGGAUCCAGCAAAAACAAGAAGAGAUGGGGAGUGAUUAUUCUAAGACAAAGAAACUCGCUCAUCGUAUCGACGUUAUCAGCCAAAAUAUGCCCAUGCUGAUUGGGACGACACCCUCUGAGCUGGUCUACCCUUCCCUGUCGCCUCUGAACACAGCUUGGAAAGCGUACCAGGCCAAUGUGGAGAUUCUUGACAAACUGUACUACUUUUGCAUCUGGUACAAUAGAGCACUGGGAGACCUGAAACACCAGCAGCUCUCAGCUUAACUCCAUAAUGCCUGACUUGCCUUAAUGUUUGAUAGGAUGGAAUGAAAGUUCCAGCCUUUGUAAGUCAUUUUCCAUUUUGACAGUGUUCUCCAGUUAACAUUUCCUGUGUAUGUAUGUUGUUUUUAUUUCAUUAAUUAUUGAUUAAGUUAUGUAUUUAAUAUUUAUUGAACAGUUCUUUGUUUACAAUGAAGGAUUUUUUUAUAUAUAUAGAGUGAAUGAGAAAAAUAGCACUUUAUAAAAAUAUUAAGUGAAUUUCAAUAAGUGAGUUUGUAUGCAAAAAUCAGCUGCAGGCAGUUGCUAACAAUGACCAACAGGUGUCGCUUAGAAACCUUUUACUGUGGUUAAUGUGAUGUAUAAUUAAAUGCAGUCCAGGGCCAGCACUCUUAUUUAUUUAUCCAUUUUUUAAGUUAGUAAUUUCGCCAACAAGCCCUGAAUCAACAUCCCUGUUGAACAACAUAUACAUUAAAAUUUUAAGGUUAGACUUUAGAUACGGCUGGCAUUUAAACAACACGGUGGUUAAAGCAAAUAUAUGCAUUUUUUUUUUAAAGAAAUCUUGAAAUAUCAGUUUCUGACAGUACACUUACUUAUAAUAAGACGUACGGCUUCUGUGUCUUUUUCACGCUCGCCACUGUUCUGCGUGUAUGUUAUGGUGGGCCACCUACUGUCCGCUGUAAUUACGACAUUGAUUUAGGACAGUGGAUUCCACUCAUUUAAUUCUAUUGGGCUCUAAGAUCGCAAAAAUACCAAAACUACAUACAGUUGUUUUAAUGGUUAGUGUAAAGCCUAUGUUUGUUUAACAGGAAUUUUUAACAGUGAAUAAUGUUUAUCCAUGCCCUAUCCAUGGCAAAAGUAGGAUAAUAAAUGGAUGAUAAAAUUGGGCA
ensembl:lncRNA